UACGUAGGGUGCGAGCGUUAAUCGGAAUUACUGGGCGUAAAGCGUGCACAGGCGGUUAUGUAAGACAGGUGUGAAAUCCCCGGGCUUAACCUGGGAACUGCAUUUGUGACUGCAUAGCUAGAGUACGGUAGAGGGGGAUGGAAUUCCGCGUGUAGCAGUGAAAUGCGUAGAUAUGCGGAGGAACACCGAUGGCGAAGGCAAUCCCCUGGACCUGUACUGACGCUCAUGCACGAAAGCGUGGGGAGCAAACAGG
rnacentral:rRNA from 1 species